UGUCUUUGCCUCUGAUUGUUUUGGAUCCAGAUUGACAUUUGCAGCACAAAAUAGUUGUUUAGAAAUGAAGAAGGGAAAGUAAAGUUUCUUCUCAUACAGAAGGUUGUUACUUCGAAGAAUGUCUGUCUGAAACCAAAAGCAAGAUGUCGGGAUAUGACUUCCCACGAAUGAUUGCAAAACAGGAGAAGAAUGAAGGGGAUACAUGUUAAACUUUUACAAAAAGAACAAGAUGGACAGUUCAACUGCAACUUACUUUUUCUUGUGGUUCAAAUAGCAUGGCUGUUUGUUUUUCUUCCUUUCUUUCUUCAAAUUGAGUUGGAUUCCCAAUGGCAUGCAGGGAACAAAGGACUAAUAUAACAGCAAUCUCACGGCAAACUCCCUUCUCACACAACUAAUAAUAUUUGAGCACCAACAUGAUGAUCAAGAGGAAAAUCUUCAGCUUUGUGGGUUGGUGGUCUACUCAUGUGUCAUAUGUCAUCAUCCUUGUGCUGGUUGAUGUCUCACUUCAAAGUCAUAUCCUGGACAUUGACUGAAUUGAUUUCAUCUUAUGUGGCCUGUUCCACCACAGUAACAGUGGUUUAAACCUCAUAAAUUGUGACUAUAUCAAGAUAUGGACAUGCAAUAAUCCUGCAACUAAUGGACAAUUAAGCAGAAUUUCAGUAAGUGAAGAUGAACUUGUAUGUUAGUGCUGCAGUUUGAUUCUGCCAAUGCAUGGAAUUGAUUAUCAUACUCCCUGAGACUGUGUGCCAUAGACAAUGGUGCUGAAGAAUGUGUCUUUUAACCAAGUAGUAAUAUUCCGGUACCCAUGUUGAGUUUAGCUUUUAGUAUCAACUUAGCUUUUCAGGAUAUUAAUGGUAGUCAAAGUUUAAUGCCUUAACCCAUCAAUAUCGUGUGCUAGAUUAAUAUUAUGAAAAUUUCAUUUGAAACUUACCAUUCAACUUGGCGGACUGUGAACCUUCUACUGUUUACAUUUUUUUUUAGAUUAGAUUACAGUGUGGAAACAGGCCCUUCGGCCCAACAAGUCCACG